rnacentral:rRNA from 1 species
GAACCAGACUCCUACGGGAGGCAGCAGUGGGGGAUAUUGCACAAUGGGGGGAACCCUGAUGCAGCGACGCCGCGUGGGUGAAGGAGCGUUUCGGCGCGUAAAGCCCUAUCGGCAGGGAAGAAGGAGGACGGUACCUGACUAAGAAGCCCCGGCUAACUACGUGCCAGCAGCCGCGGUAAUACGUAGGGGGCAAGCGUUAUCCGGAUUUACUGGGUGUAAAGGGAGCGUAGACGGCGAUGCAAGCCAGAUGUGAAAGCCCGGGGCUCAACCCCGGGACUGCAUUUGGAACUGUAUAGCUAGAGUGUCGGAGAGGCAGGCGGAAUUCCUAGUGUAGCGGUGAAAUGCGUAGAUAUUAGGAGGAACACCAGUGGCGAAGGCGGCCUGCUGGACGAUGACUGACGUUGAGGCUCGAAAGCGUGGGGAGCAAACAGGAUUAGAUACCCCUGUA